UCAAAUGCUAUGAAAAAGAGAGUAUCCGAUGCAUUUUUGAACAAGAGAGGAGCUGCCGCAGGCUGCAAGCGCUCCCAAGAAGCUUCGGAGAAGUUCGCUUUUGAGCAUCAGGGCUGAACCUUAGUAAGCCUUGACGUGGGGUGCGCGUUACGCCCUUGGAGUGGCCUUGUUGCAUAAAACUGCAGGGCUAUUAGAGUGGUACCGCGAAGAGCAUAAGCCUUUCGUCUCUAAA
rnacentral:ncRNA from 1 species